rnacentral:lncRNA from 1 species
CAACUUUCGCUGCUAAAUCCUCUCUCUGCACACUAGGGACUGGUCACUAUAACUCUGCUGUAAAACCGUAUGUUUAGGAUGCAAAUAGAUGAAGACUGCUCCAGCCACACGAGGCAAGGUGAACCUGAGUGGCAGCAAGAAAUGAAGUAGUUUUGUGAUACGGGUCAGCUGAAGCAGAUCAAAGCUACCAGACACAAAGGCUCCCGAUCACAUGGAGCCACCCCCACAGCAGGUAGCCAGCUGUUCAUACACAGCUUUGAAACCACGCUCUGGAUGAAGUCAAGUAGCAGCUUUACCGAGCUAAGGAACUCCAAGCAAUACUAACAGAAGAUUGAGAUGGAAGGCUUUUUAUAAAGGAAAAUUUGGAUAUGAAUACAGUGAUGAUUCUGCCAGAGGUACACCUCACUUUACAAAUUCAAAGCUUUCUUUGUCUUCUACCUUAUUUAACUUCUUCCGUUAUGCUUCUUUGUCCUUCCUAUCCAAAUGUUCUCUUUUUUCCAGUUACUCUGAGCUUAAUUUUUCCUUCUCUCAUAACAUCUUGAAAGAUGAUUCUGCAGCACACUUCUCUAGAGAACAAAAGCAUACUGUUGAAAUGUUCUUUUUCUUGCAUGGUUGUAUUUUUUUCCUAUCAUUACAAUCCAACUCUGAGUAAUAGUGUUAAUGUGAAAAAUUAUUCAUCACAAUAAUAAAUCUCCUAAAAUUUCUCUAAUUACUAUUAAACAUUCUGCUGCAAACUACUUGAGUCCUUUGCAAAUUAACAUGUAAAUUAGUAUAUUUUAAAUGCUGAGCAUGGAUUUUAAAGGCCAUACACAAAUAUAAUCUAUACAAGGAUUUAGAAAUGCCAAGUAAAAUGCAGUCACAUCUGUCAGGACCAACUGAAACACAAUGAAAUACAGGAGUUAACGCUGCCACAAACCAGGUCAGCCUGCUCCUUGGACACUUACCAGACUGUGCUGUUUGCUCCCAGUCCACUGGGCCUGGUCUGUGUUAGGUUACUGCAGCCUGAAGAGACUCCAGGUCCUUCACUUGUGUUUGUAUUGUGAGGUGCAAAGUAAUGCUCCCUUUGAAACUGAACAUACAGUUCAGCAAACUGACUCCUGUGCCUAUUGUUGACUCUUCAGACUUCUUUGUUGUUUAAACAAACUUUCAAGAAGAAUUUGUUUUGCAUAGACAAUUCUGGGUCGUGUUUUUGUUCUUUGGGCGUACAUAGAUGUGACAGCAAAGUCUUAGUGAGCUACAAAAAGAACUAAAAUAUGAUCUGUCAUUACUUGUAAUGUACCAAAUUUAUUUGUGAGAAGACACUAUCUAAAUGCAGUGUGCUUUUCUCUUUCCCAUAACUAGAAGUCUAUCUGUUCAUUGUGACUGCACUCCCUCCAGCAUUUGCUCUACCUACUUUGGGUCAAAAUGCUCAUCCAGUAGAUUAGUUCUUCCUACUUUUUAAGCUCUCAACCCCUCUGUCAUAAGACUUUUUGUCUUUUUCACCACCUUCUGCAACCAGGUGAUAUGUGGUUUAAAUGCCCCAUCCUUUCCUCCCUUUGCAGACUUGAAAGGGUGUAUCAUCAUACAAGCCUCUCCUUGUCCAAAAGAUAAUAGCCAAAAUGUUAUGAUCUUAUGCCAACUUCCCUUGGAGUUUUGCUUCAAAAUGCAGGUAACGAAAUGACACGUGGCUUGGAGUUAAUGUUUGAAGUCCAAGAUAAGCACAGCUCAUAAACAGAGAGACUGCUCCAGUCCUUGUAACUGCUACAUGAGUACAAACGUGCUCCAAAUAGACACUGUACAUUCAUAGUGAUGUGUAACAGUCACCCAGAUUAUCGGAUUGGAUUCUUUACUAAAGGAAGCCGAGCUUCUUAUUUCAGGCUGUGUACAUGCCCAGUGGCUCUAGGUGGACAGUGAAACUGAAACUGAAGUUAUCAGGCUCAAGCCUUCAUUAUUGUGUCCUUUCUUCUUGGUAUGAACGUAAGUUAUUGCGUUUUGUGCAAAUUGGCAGAACAUUUUUGUUUGUUUGUUUUUGGUAAAAAUCUGUAAAAAAUGAUUUGGUAAACUAACCUGAAGGGAAUGAACUGAAAAACAUGCUGCUGGCUAGGUUCUGAAUAGUAAAAAGAACAAAAAAAUGAACACGAAAAGCAUCUCGCAGUAGUUGCUGCCUGAAUA